rnacentral:rRNA from 1 species
GACGAACGCUGGCGGCGUGCUUAACACAUGCAAGUCGAACGGAAAGGCCCUGCUUUUGUGGGGUGCUCGAGUGGCGAACGGGUGAGUAACACGUGAGUAACCUGUCCCUGACUGUGGGAUAACCUCAGGCAACUGGGGCUAAUACGGGAUAGGAGCUCCUGCUGCAUGGUGGGGGUUGGAAAGUUUCGGCGGUUGGGGAUGGACUCGCGGCUUAUCAGCUUGUUGGUGGGGUAGUGGCUUACCAAGGCCUUGACGGGUAGCCGGCCUGAGAGGGUGACCGGCCCCAUUGGGCCUGGGAUACGGCCCAGACUCCUCCGGGAGGCAGCGGUGGGGAGUAUUGCACAGUGCGCGGAAGCCUGAUGCGACACCGCCGCGUGCGGGAUGACGGCCUUCGGGUUGUAAACCGCUUUCGCCUGUGACGAGGCGUGAGUGACGGUACUGGGUGAAGAAGCACCGGCUAACUACGUG